UCCCCCAACUUAACUUCUCUAACACUCCUAUGUUUUCAACUAACCAAUGAAAUAGUCCGGAGUCUUGUUGAGAGUUGUCGAAAACUGAAGUACCUGAAUCUAUCCAGAUCACCUAAAAUCGAUGGUUGUUUUUUGAGGGAUUUGGGGAAUAGCUGCAAAGAGAGUCCACUCGAGA